rnacentral:rRNA from 1 species
GAUGAACGCUAGCUACAGGCUUAACACAUGCAAGUCGAGGGGAAACGGCAUUUAGUGCUUGCACUGAAUGGACGUCGACCGGCGCACGGGCGAGUAACGCGUAUCCAACCUUCCCAUUACUGUGGGAUAACCUGCCGAAAGGCAGACUAAUACCGCAUAGUCUUCGAUGACGGCAUCAGAUUUGAAGUAAAGAUUUAUCGGUAAUGGAUGGGGAUGCGUCUGAUUAGCUUGUUGGCGGGGUAACGGCCCACCAAGGCAACGAUCAGUAGGGGUUCUGAGAGGAAGGUCCCCCACAUUGGAACUGAGACACGGUCCAAACUCCUACGGGAGGCAGCAGUGAGGAAUAUUGGUCAAUGGACGAGAGUCUGAGCCAGCCAAGUAGCGUGCAGGAUGACGGCCCUAUGGGUUGUAAACUGCUUUUGUAUGGGGAUAAAGUCAAUCACGUGUGAUUGUUUGCAGGUACCAUACGAAUAAGGACCGGCUAAUUCCGUGCCAGCAGCCGCGGUAAUACGGAAGGUCCGGGCGUUAUCCGGAUUUAUUGGGUUUAAAGGGAGCGUAGGCCGGAGAUUAAGUGUGUUGUGAAAUGUAGACGCUCAACGUCUGACUUGCAGCGCAUACUGGUUUCCUUGAGUACGCACAACGUUGGCGGAAUUCGUCGUGUAGCGGUGAAAUGCUUAGAUAUGACGAAGAACUCCGAUUGCGAAGGCAGCUGACGGGAGCGCAACUGACGCUUAAGCUCGAAGGUGCGGGUAUCGAACAGG